UACCUUUUGUAUAAUGGGUCAGCGACUUAUAUUCUGUAGCAAGGUUAACCGAAUAGGGGAGCCGAAGGGAAACCGAGUCUUAACUGGGCGUUAAGUUGCAGGGUAUAGACCCGAAACCCGGUGAUCUAGCCAUGGGCAGGUUGAAGGUUGGGUAACACUAACUGGAGGACCGAACCGACUAAUGUUGAAAAAUUAGCGGAUGACUUGUGGCUGGGGGUGAAAGGCCAAUCAAACCGGGAGAUAGCUGGUUCUCCCCGAAAGCUAUUUAGGUAGCGCCUCGUGAAUUCAUCUCCGGGGGUAGAGCACUGUUUCGGCAAGGGGGUCAUCCCGACUUACCAACCCGAUGCAAACUGCGAAUACCGGAGAAUGUUAUCACGGGAGACACACGGCGGGUGCUAACGUCCGUCGUGAAGAGGGAAACAACCCAGACCGCCAGCUAAGGUCCCAAAGUCAUGGUUAAGUGGGAAACGAUGUGGGAAGGCCCAGACAGCCAGGAUGUUGGCUUAGAAGCAGCCAUCAUUUAAAGAAAGCGUAAUAGCUCACUGGUCGAGUCGGCCUGCGCGGAAGAUGUAACGGGGCUAAACCAUGCACCGAAGCUGCGGCAGCGACACUGUGUGUUGUUGGGUAGGGGAGCGU
rnacentral:rRNA from 1 species